CAUAAUGACUCUCGGCAACGGAUAUCUCGGCUCUUGCAUCGAUGAAGAACGUAGCGAAAUGCGAUACUUGGUGUGAAUUGCAGAAUCCCGUGAACCAUCGAGUCUUUGAACGCAAGUUGCGCCCGAAGCCAUUAGGCCGAGGGCACGCCUGCCUGGGUGUCACA
rnacentral:rRNA from 1 species